GACGAACGCUGGCGGCGUGCUUAACACAUGCAAGUCGAACGGAAAGGCCCUGCUUUUGUGGGGUGCUCGAGUGGCGAACGGGUGAGUAACACGUGAGUAACCUGCCCUUGACUUUGGGAUAACUUCAGGAAACUGGGGCUAAUACCGGAUAGGAUCUCCUGCUGCAUGGUGGGGGUUGGAUAUUUUCGGCGGUUGGGGAUGGACGCGCGGCUUAUCAGCUUGUUGGUGGGGUAGUGGCUUACCAAGGGUUUGACGGGUAGCCGGCCUGAGAGGGUGACCGGCCACAUUGGGACUGAGAUACGGACCAGACUGCAACGGGAGGCAGCAGUGGGGAAUAUGGCACAAUGGGAGGAAGCCUGAUGCAGAAACGCCGCGUGCGGGAUGACGGCCUUCGGGUUGUAAACCGCAUUCGCCUGUGACGAAGCGUGAGUGACGGUAAUGGGUAAAGAAGCACCGGCUAACUACGUG
rnacentral:rRNA from 1 species